rnacentral:rRNA from 1 species
GCGGACGGGUGAGUAACACGUGAGUAACCUGCCUUAGACAUUGGGAUAGCCUCGGGAAACCGGGAUUAAUACCAAAUAAAAUCAUAAUGACACAUGUCAUAACGAUCAAAACUCCGGUGGUCUAAGAUGGACUCGCGUCCCAUUAGCUAGUUGGUAGAGUAAAAGCCUACCAAGGCGACGAUGGGUAGCCGGCCUGAGAGGGUGAACGGCCACAUUGGGACUGAGAUACGGCCCAG